GAUGAACGCUAGCGGCAGGCUUAAUACAUGCAAGUCGAGGGGCAGCAGGUCCCGCAGCAUUGCGGGAUGCUGGCGACCGGCAAACGGGUGCGGAACACGUACAGAACCUUCCUUUAAGUGGGGAAUAGCCCGGGGAAACCCGGAUUAAUACCCCGUAACAUAAUGAAGUGGCAUCACUUUAUUAUUAUAGCAGCAAUGCGCUUGAAGAUGGCUGUGCGGCUGAUUAGGUAGUUGGCGGGGUAACGGCCCACCAAGCCUACGAUCAGUAACUGGGUGGAGAGAACGACCAGUCACACGGGCACUGGGACACGGGCCCGACUCCUACGGGAGGCAGCAGUAAGGAAUAUUGGGCAAUGGACGCAAGUCUGACCCAGCCAUGCCGCGUGGAGGAUGAAGGUCCUCUGGAUUGUAAACUUCUUUUAUCUGGGAAGAAAUCUAUUUUUUCUAAAGUAGUUGACGGUACCAGAUGAAUAAGCACCGGCUAACUCCGUGCCAGCCGCCGCAGUAA
rnacentral:rRNA from 1 species